GAACUGUGUUGUGGACACUUAUGCAAGAGUUCCUUGAACAUUUCCCAUGUCUCAAAUAGAGACUCCAAUUCCAACCCGUGAUAAAGUGAUGAGAUCUCAUUCCUAAGUUU